CCCUUAGAUGUUCUGGGCCGCACGCGCGCUACACUGAUGAAUUCAACGAGCUCCUAACCUAGGCCGAAGGGUCCGGGUAAUCUUUGAAAUUUCAUCGUGAUGGGGAUAGAUUAUUGCAAUUAUUAAUCUUCAACGAGGAAUUCCUAGUAAGCGCGAGUCAUCAGCUCGCGUUGAUUACGUCCCUGCCCUUUGUACACGCCGCCCGUCGCUCCUACCGAUUGAAUGGUCCGGUGAAAUGUUCGGAUCGCGGCAAAUCGGACGGGUAACCGUCAGGUUCGCUGCGAGAAGUUCAUUAAACCUUAUCAUUUAGAGGAAGGAGAAGUCGUAACA
rnacentral:rRNA from 1 species